CAGUAGCCGCGGGAAUACGUAGGUGGCAAGCGUUGUCCGGAAUUAUUGGGCGUAAAGCGUGCGCAGGCGGUUUGUUAAGACAGAUGUGAAAUCCCCGGGCUCAACCUGGGAACUGCAUUUGUGACUGGCAAGCUAGAGUGUGGCAGAGGGGGGUGGAAUUCCGCGUGUAGCAGUGAAAAGCGUAGAUAUGCGGAGGAACACCGAUGGCGAAGGCAGCCCCCUGGGCCAACACUGACGCUCAUGCACGAAAGCGCGGGGAGCAAACAGGAUUAGAUACCCCCGUAGUCCCUGUCUCUUAUAA
rnacentral:rRNA from 1 species